UGGGGAAUUUUGGACAAUGGGCGCAAGCCUGAUCCAGCCAUACCGCGUGAGUGAAGAAGGCCUUCGGGUUGUAAAGCUCUUUCAGCCGGAAAGAAAUCGUGCAGGUUAAUAACCUGUAUGGAUGACGGUACCGGAAGAAGAAGCACCGGCUAACUACGUG
rnacentral:rRNA from 1 species